CACACCGCCCGUCACACCAUGGGAGUUGACUGCACCAGAAGUAGGUAGCUUAACCGCAAGGGGGCGCUUACCACGGUGUGGCCAAUGACUGGGUG
rnacentral:rRNA from 1 species